rnacentral:rRNA from 1 species
GCUUCUUUGCUGACGAGUGGCGGACGGGUGAGUAAUGUCUGGGAAACUGCCUGAUGGAGGGGGAUAACUACUGGAAACGGUAGCUAAUACCGCAUAACGUCGCAAGACCAAAGAGGGGGACCUUCGGGCCUCUUGCCAUCGGAUGUGCCCAGAUGGGAUUAGCUUGUUGGUGGGGUAACGGCUCACCAAGGCGACGAUCCCUAGCUGGUCUGAGAGGAUGACCAGCCACACUGGAACUGAGACACGGUCCAGACUCCUACGGGAGGCAGCAGUGGGGAAUAUUGCACAAUGGGCGCAAGCCUGAUGCAGCCAUGCCGCGUGUAUGAAGAAGGCCUUCGGGUUGUAAAGUACUUUCAGCGGGGAGGAAGGGAGUAAAGUUAAUACCUUUGCUCAUUGACGUUACCCGCAGAAGAAGCACCGGCUAACUCCGUGCCAGCAGCCGCGGUAAUACGGAGGGUGCAAGCGUAAUCGGAAUUACUGGGCGUAAAGCGCACGCAGGCGGUUUGUUAAGUCAGAUGUGAAAUCCCCCGG